AAAUCCCGGCUCCGCUUGUUUUUCGCAAUAGACGAAACAGCCUCAACACCACAUAUAAGCUCGAUUACUACUUUUUAACACAUCAAUAUCGCGGAAAUCUUAAAACUCAUAACUGAAAACAAAUGGCAAGGAUUCCGAGGUAAAAAUAAUUACUGAAAUAAAAGGAAUGGCACAGCAGCCUCCGCAACACUUAUGCGACACGCAAACAUCGGAACUCAAACCUACAUUACCAAGCCUCAAGGUCUUUAACCAAACACAACCAAACGCUAAAGCAGGGGUUUUUCGAAACGAGAAAUACUCACUGAAUUAGCAAAACGAAGCAGCCGCAACUCCAAAUCGACCCGGCAGCGGCUUCGUCAAUAACCCCAAGUGACAAUCGCGAGCAAAAACCCCGGUGACGGCAACUGUAAUAACCACGCGGCAUUAACAACCCUUCCAGAAUUCCAGAAGAAUAGAAACCAAACUCAGAACUCUUACCGGCGGUGGAACACGGUGGAAGCAGGGUCUCAAGUGGCAGAAGCUCAGCCCGGAGCUCCGGCGGUCAGAAACACAGAGGCGCAGCUU
rnacentral:lncRNA from 1 species